rnacentral:tRNA from 1 species
CAAAACGUAGCUUAAACAAAGCAUCCAGCUUACAAUUGGAAGACGCCACACACUGGCCUUUUUGA